CCACAACCUCCGCGGCAGCGAAGCAGCGCCGCUAUCGCCGCCCUCCUCGGCCGCCGCUGUCGCGCGGGCCGUGCACCGAUCGAGCACGGCGAUUUGCCGUGCCCGGAGACCGCAAAAGCAGAGGCUGAGGACAAUCCUUCAAGCUCUUGAGGCGAGCUUGGAAUGGAGUCCCACGCCACACCGCCGAUUUCCCUCACCGCUUUCGGCACCGGAGAUCGAGAUGGCCGUCUUCUCCACCAACUCCGGUUGAAACUGCGGCUCCCGCCGUCCUGCCUGCUCGGCUUCCUAUGCUGACAACCGCGUUCGCUUGCAUCGCUAAGAAGCACCCCGAUGACGUACAAUGGGCAGUCCGGCCUAGGGGUAGUAGAACGUGUAGCCGAGAAGGAUGCCGACGUUGAGAUAUUGAUGUGUAAGUGUGGUUUAAUGAUAAGAGCGACUUGCUCCUUUUGUUCCGUGUACAUGUAUUUGAUUUAUUAAUAGUUUAAUGCACAAAUGCCAAACCUUUUAAACUUAAAUUCAUUGUAUGCUAAAUCUUUCUCGUGCAAACACUACAUGAAACUUUGCCUUGUAAUGUUGUUCUUGCAAAUCGUCAUAUACCUGUUAGACCGGCAUAUCUAGCAUGUGGCCAAAGUGCGGAUGAUGUUUUGCAUGUGUGGUUCCGAUGCAAAAAAAAAAGCCAAGGAAGUGUGGCUCCUUCUAGGACUGGAGGAUGUUAUAGUGCAUGCAUGCGAAGUGGCUCGAGUGGGGGAAGCAGUGCUUGCUUAUUUGCUGAAUUUCUCGCACAGGAGGCGCUCGUUCUAGGCGUUAAAAAUUUCUAUGAGCUCAUGUCUAUCACUUGUUGGUACCUCUGGUGGGAAAGAAGAAAACUAGUUCACAAGGAGCAUGUGCAAGAUGCGAAAAGAACAUCACAAUCUGUGAGAGCGCUGGAAGAAAAUUUUGUUAUUGCAGGUGACCUGAAGGCAGUACUAAAGAAGGAUGGAUGGAGAAAACCAUCUAAUGUCCUUUUUCAGCUGAACGUAGAUGUCGUCUUUGACUGUGACGCGCUACAUGAAGCUAUGGGAGCAAUUAUAAAAGACGACAGAGGUCAUUUCAUAGUUUUCGGAAACAAACUAAUACUCCUAUUAUGACCCUCUUUCUGUAGAGGCAUUGGCUCUUAAAUUCGGUUUACAACUCUCUUCCACGGCAGGGUGUAAUAGGCUAGUCAUUAAUUCUGACAGUCUGGAACUAAUGGAGAUUAUGAACAUGGACGGUCAGUAUGCGGGCAAUGUAGCAGCCAUCAUUGAUGAGUGUUACUAUUUGGCAUGUGAGUUUAGUUCAAUUCAGUUUCAAUUCUGUCCUAGAGAAGCAAAUGUUGUUUCUCAUGAAUUAGCUAGUGUAGCUAGAUCUAAAUUUUGUAGCGAGUGGAUUGAAAUUGCUCCUAAUGAGCUUCUUCCUCUUUUACUUAAAGAUGUAAGUGUUAUCACCAAUGAAUAAAGAGGGUUUUAGUUAUCAAAAAAAUAUAAGCAUGAACAACAAUAUUGAUUUGUGCUCCUUGAAAUUGGGAUUUUUUUCAGGCAGAGUCUAUAAUGCAUGUGUCAUUCAUAUGCCCCAACAUUUAAAAUGCAGUUUCAUGAAAAAGAAAAAUGCAAUUGCAACUACUAAAAGUUCAACUGCACACAAUAAUUGUGUGCAAUUUCAACAAAAAUAAAACAAAUAUGCCAAAAAGAGUGAAAGUAGGAUUACAACAAGAACAAGGUGCAGUUGCACAAAAAGAAAAGUGUAAUUGCAACAAAAAUAGAACUAGCAAAGUAGCAAGAAAAUGGUGACUGAAAAUUCUGAAAAGGGAUUGCAACUCACAAAAGUAAGUGAAAUUACCAAAUUAAGGUGACUAAAACCCAAUUGAAGACACAAAAAACAUUGAAAACAAAUAAAACGGUGCCUGCAUUUUAGCACUGCUUUUAAAUUAGGAGAAUCUAGUUAAUACAAGUAUGUGUUGCUUUAAAUUCGUCAAUCAAUCAUCAUCUACAAUAUAGUGAAUUAGUUCUGAUUUUUUCCAGCUCCCUCAUUGUAUUUGUGGAAAAGACUGUUAUUCAGUUGGGUGAAGGCACUUAUGUUGCACUUAUGCAUCCUCUCCCUCGUCCCCAGCUGAUAAAUAAUGUCACUUCUAGUGCUGCAGAGUCCAUAAGAAGAAGAAAAUCUUCUAUGUUGCUAGCUAUGCUUGUGCAAGCAUGGGGAAGAUAUCCAUGGAAAUUAAUGCAAGGUUUGACAUGUUGAGAGACAAUAAUAGAUGGGAGUUGGAGCUGGCAGGAAACUUAAUUUAUGCACAACAAGAAAGAACUCUGGCAAAAGUGAUGGGUUUUGGGCUGCAAUUAAUGUAGGAGAUCUUCGUUGAGGAACUGUGAACUACAAAUCUGCAGUUGUUUGAUCGCAAAUUUGCAUAUGUUUGAGUAUGCCCCAGGAUCUCGACAACCAUUGUUAUUAAGCUGGAUGUUUGGAUGUUUGAUGACGUUUUGAUGCCGAGCUUGUGCAGUGGGUUUCCCAGUAGCGCUUGGACUUGCUUUCUCUUCAUACUCGCAUCUUGUAAUCUUUGUACUAUAUUUCUUCGUUAUGCUUUUAAUAGAAAGGGAGUUAGCCCAGUUAAGAACAUGUUAUUAUUGACCCCGAGCGUCCUCCUGGUGACUUGAUUGUUAUGAUCACUACCAUGACGCCGUUUGAGCACGUACGAAACGGAGGAGC